rnacentral:lncRNA from 1 species
AUGCCCGUGUAUACGCCCAGCCAGAGAGACAAGGACCCAGAAACACCCUCCAUGUGGAUACCCUCUCAAAAGACUUCCUUCCACACAUACAGAUACACCCUUAGAUACAUAUCCACACUCAUACACUCUCCAGGUCCAGCAAAAACUGUCAGGAGAGGUUGGGAGAACCCACCUAGGCAGCAAUGGACCUGGAGGUGCUAUGGCUUCCUGCUGCCUCCGGUGGGGGGGCCCUUCCCACCAGGCUCUGACUCCUCCCUGACCCUCCCUCUUUUCCUCCCUCCCUCCUGGCCUUGCCAGCAGCAAAAAUUGGAAAUGCCCUGGAUGGCUACAUCCCCCAGAAAGCGAACAAGAAAAAAUAAACACAGUUCAAUGAUGUAACAACAAUGGAGAAUAGCUACAGGCUCUUGAUAGAAGGAUAUAUGCAGGUCAGGAAGCAACAGUUAGAACUGGACAUGGAACAACAGACUGGUUCCAAAUAGGAAAAGGAGUAGGUCAAGGCUGUAUAUUGUCACCCUGCUUAUUUAGCUUCUAUGCAGAGUACAUCAUGAGAAAUGCUGGACUGGAAGAAGCACAAGCUGGAAUCAAGAUUGCUGGGAGAAAUAUCAAUAACCUCAGAUAUGCAGAUGACACCACCCUUAUGGCAGAAAGUGAAGAGGAACUCAAAAGCCUCUUGAUGAAAAAGUGAAAGAAGAGAGUGAAAAAGUUGGCUUAAAGCUCAACAUUCAGAAAACUAUCAUGGCAUCUGGUCCCAUCACUUCAUGGGAAAUAGAUGGAGAAACAGUGGAAACAGUGUCAGACUUUAUUUUUGGGGGCUCCAAAAUCACUGCAGAUGGCGACUGCAGCCAUGAAAUUAAAAGACGCUUACUCCUUGGAAGGAAAGUUAUGACCCAACUAGAUAGCAUAUUGAAAAGCAGAGAUGUUACUUUGCCAACAAAGGUCCGUCUAGUCAAGGCUAUGGUUUUUCCAGUGGUCAUGUAUGGAUGUGAGAGUUGGACUGUGAAGAAAGCUGAGCGCUGAAGAAUUGAUGCUUUUUAACUGUGGUAUUGGAGAAGGCUCUUGAGAGUCCCUUGGACUGCAAGAACAUCCAACCAGUCCAUCCUAAAGGAGAUCAGUCCUGGGUGUUCAUUGGAAGGACUGAUGCUAAAGCUGAAACUCCAGUACUUUGGCCUCAUGCUAAGAGUUGACUCAUUGGAAAAGACCCUGAUGCUGGGAGGGAUUGGGGGCAGGAGGAGAAGGGGACGACAGAGGAUGAGAUGGCUGGAUGGCAUCACCAACUCGAUGGACAUGAGUCUGGGUGAAUUCCGGGAGUUGGUGAUGGACAGGGAGGCCUGGCGUGCUGCAAUUCAUGGGGUCGCAAAGAGUCAGACACGACUGAGUGACUGAACUGAACUGAAGCCUGGCUGCUUACCAGGGGCAGUGUAAGCUCCCAUGAACUCAAAGGCCAGGGAAGAUGCAGAGACCCAACUUCUGCUUUCAAGAUGUGGCCAGAGUUUGCCACACUCUUGAGGCCGUAUCUGUCCUCACUUUUGUCACC